rnacentral:rRNA from 1 species
UACGAAGGGGGCUAGCGUUGCUCGGAAUCACUGGGCGUAAAGGGUGCGUAGGCGGGUCUUUAAGUCAGGGGUGAAAUCCUGGAGCUCAACUCCAGAACUGCCUUUGAUACUGAAGAUCUUGAGUUCGGGAGAGGUGAGUGGAACUGCGAGUGUAGAGGUGAAAUUCGUAGAUAUUCGCAAGAACACCAGUGGCGAAGGCGGCUCACUGGUCCGGUACUGACGCUGAGGUGCGAAAGCGUGGGAGC